GUAGGAGGCAAGCGUUGCCCGGAAUUAUUGGGCGUAAAGCGCGCGCAGGCGGUCCUUUAAGUCUGAUGUGAAAGCCCACGGCUCAACCGUGGAGGGUCAUUGGAAACUGGGGGACUUGAGUACAGAAGAGGAAAGCGGAAUUCCAAGUGUAGCGGUGAAAUGCGUAGAGAUUUGGAGGAACACCAGUGGCGAAGGCGGCUUUCUGGUCUGUAACUGACGCUGAGGCGCGAAAGCGUGGGGAGCAAACAGGAUUAGAUACCCUGGUAGUCCACGCCGUAAACGAUGAGUGCUAAGUGUUAGGGGGUUUCCCGCCCCCCUUAGUGCUGCAGCUAACGCAUUAAGCACUCCGCCUGGGGGAGUACGGCCGCAAGGCUG
rnacentral:rRNA from 1 species